GUGCUGCUGGACAGGUCAGGCGUGGGGCUCGAGUCCUCGUGGGCGGGCGGGGGGAUCGUCUCUCCGUUGUACCCC
rnacentral:tRNA from 1 species